rnacentral:piRNA from 1 species
CCCGACCAAACGUCAGUUCUCACCUGC